ensembl:lncRNA
AAACUCUCCGUGUUAAUGAAUUUGUGAGAAAUCGUUGGUGAUUGCGUUCACAUCAACUCUACAGAUCCUCGGAUUAAAGUAUCAUUAACAAUUACGUUUCACAUGUAGGCCUAUAGUCAUGAUUCUACGAGGCACCGAAUAAAUAAAAGGACUACACCGGAAUGCUGCGCUCGUCUAGUGAGCGUCGUUUGGCACUGCCGUCUGUGCAAGUACGGCAAUCCAGAAUUUUCAAGUAGUUCCACGUUGGUGGAACGAACUGCCUAGCACUACCAGAGCAGGCGCGUCCCUCUCUACCUUUAAGAAGCUUUUGAAGACCCAACUCUUCAGAGAGCACCUCCCUUCCUAACUGGCACUUCGACUAGUGCUUAACUUGCACUUAUAGCAGUUACAUUCCUGCACUUCGUUUUUAUUUCCUAUUUCGUUUUUCUAUUUCUUAUGUAAAGUAGUAUUUAUUGUUACACUAGGUCUCUAUUGCUCUUAGCUUGACUGUUCUAUCCCUUGUACGACGCUUUGGACAAAAGUGUCUGCUAAAUGACUAAAUGUAAUGUACACGAACACUGCAAAUGUAAGUGAAUAAAUAAAUAAGCACUAAACUCAAUCACGUUGAUAUAGCUAUAGUGGAAUAGAAUGGACACAUCUACAUCCUGCAACAGUCCAUCUCUGCACCGUUCAAGUCAUAGACAUAUCACUACGGUUGCGUGCCCUUAUAAGGAGCUGGCAGGGCGUGUAUGUAUGCAAAUUCAGGAGCACGAGAACGCGCUUUCAAUUUAAGAAAACUCUUCCGGGGGAGCACAGCCCAGAAAACUUCUGCUGCGUAGGACCACAUUUUCAAGCGUGCAUGAAUUUGGCGGAUGUCUUUUGCUUACGUUGUUUUUCCGAAGCCCGUGUGGAGAGUUUCCGUGUCUCAAGGCAGGCAGAGACCCAAUCCCCCAUGGUGUCCCUGUGGUCUGUGUAUGACCAAGCCAUGGAACAUACCGGCAAGGCAGUUGGAGAAGAGAACCUUGCUGCAGCUUUAAAAAUGGCCACUGACACGGCAGGCAGUAUGAUAACUGCAGCAAGCGGGCUCCUAGAUACCUUCUUCAAUGGACCCUAAAAGUACCUCAGGACAUAUAGAUUUCUCUGGUCCCAGUGAUGUCAUCUUUGCUGAGCCAAAAAGGAUUCCAGUGCAUAUCUCACAAAUGAUUGUAAUGGAAUCCAUUCACUUUGAAUAAGACUGUCAAUGGGAUUUUCUUUUUUUCAAGAUCAGUUUGUUUUAAGUAUUAAAGUCAAUAUGAUGAAUAACACAAUGAAGUCAUCCACUUUUAUUUAGGCACAACGCCCUCCUUCACAAACCACAAAACACAUUUAAAAGGAGUUCUGACUGAAGUGAAGAUUGAAUAAUGAGAGAAUAUUGACUGGUGUACUUCCAGACAAAUGAAUGGCUGUUAUGUAGAAUAACAUGAAAAACAUCUCUGGGGAAUUUAUCUGUAGUGUAAUGCGCUUCAAAAUGAGACAUUAUGGGAGUCCCUCUGAGCUGCACCAGUUGUCUGUACUUUGAGAUACAUAUCUGUGUGUACAGGCCUCAUCGACACCAUCGGAGAGGGUUUUCUCCUGUGCAGGUCAUGCGAUUAGUCAGGAAAGGUGUCGCAUUUUGCCGGAGAAGGCAAAUAUGCUGAUAUUUCUACAAAAGAAUUGCUGAAGUAUUGAAGCUGUAGUGUGUGUACAGAGUGUGUGUGUGUGUGUUUUUUUUAAUUUAUUUGUAUUUAUUUAAGUAUAGUCUAAACUUUUGUUAACAGUUCAUAUAUUAUUUAAGUGUUAAGUUAAAAAGUAUUUUGUAUUUA